rnacentral:tRNA from 1 species
GGUUCCAUAGUGUAAUGGUUAGCACAUCUGCUUUACACCCAGAAGGUCCUGGAUUCACAUUGUCAGUAGAGCUA